GACGAACGCUGGCGGCGUGCUUAACACAUGCAAGUCGAACGGAAAGGCCCUGCUUGCAGGGUACUCGAGUGGCGAACGGGUGAGUAACACGUGGGUGAUCUGCCCUGCACUUCGGGAUAAGCCUGGGAAACUGGGUCUAAUACCGGAUAGGAGCCAUUUUUAGUGUGAUGGUUGGAAAGUUUUUUCGGUGUAGGAUGAGCUCGCGGCCUAUCAGCUUGUUGGUGGGGUAAUGGCCUACCAAGGCGGCGACGGGUAGCCGGCCUGAGAGGGUGGACGGCCACAUUGGGACUGAGAUACGGCCCAGACUCCGACGGGAGGCAGCAGUGGGGAAUAUUGCACAAUGGGAGCAAGCCUGAUGCAGCGACGCCGCGUGGGGGAUGACGGCCUUCGGGUUGUAAACUCCUUUCGCUAGGGACGAAGCUUUUUGUGACGGUACCUAGAUAAGAAGCACCGGCUAACUACGUG
rnacentral:rRNA from 1 species